rnacentral:rRNA from 1 species
AGUCGAACGCACAGCGAAAGGUGCUUGCACCUUUCAAGUGAGUGGCGAACGGGUGAGUAACACGUGGACAACCUGCCUCAAGGCUGGGGAUAACAUUUGGAAACAGAUGCUAAUACCGAAUAAAACUUAGUGUCGCAUGACACAAAGUUAAAAGGCGCUUCGGCGUCACCUAGAGAUGGAUCCGCGGUGCAUUAGUUAGUUGGUGGGGUAAAGGCCUACCAAGACAAUGAUGCAUAGCCGAGUUGAGAGACUGAUCGGCCACAUUGGGACUGAGACACGGCCCAAACUCCUACGGGAGGCUGCAGUAGGGAAUCUUCCACAAUGGGCGAAAGCCUGAUGGAGCAACGCCGCGUGUGUGAUGAAGGCUUUCGGGUCGUAAAGCACUGUUGUAUGGGAAGAACAGCUAGAAUAGGAAAUGAUUUUAGUUUGACGGUACCAUACCAGAAAGGGACGGCUAAAUACGUGCCAGCAGCCGCGGUAAUACGUAUGUCCCGAGCGUUAUCCGGAUUUAUUGGGCGUAAAGCGAGCGCAGACGGUUUAUUAAGUCUGAUGUGAAAGCCCGGAGCUCAACUCCGGAAUGGCAUUGGAAACUGGUUAACUUGAGUGCAGUAGAGGUAAGUGGAACUCCAUGUGUAGCGGUGGAAUGCGUAGAUAUAUGGAAGAACACCAGUGGCGAAGGCGGCUUACUGGACUGCAACUGACGUUGAGGCUCGAAAGUGUGGGUAGCAAACAGGAUUAGAUACCCUGGUAGUCCACACCGUAAACGAUGAACACUAGGUGUUAGGAGGUUUCCGCCUCUUAGUGCCGAAGCUAACGCAUUAAGUGUUCCGCCUGGGGGAGUACGACCGCAAGGUUGAAACUCAAAGGAAUUGACGGGGACCC